CGGAGCCGUAGCGAAAGCGAGUUUUAACUGAGCGUUCAGUUACUUGACGUAGACCCGAAACCGGGCGACCUACCCAUGGGCAGGAUGAAGCGAAAGUAAAAUUUCGUGGCGGUCCGAACCCACGAGCGUUGAAAAGCUCGGGGAUGACGUGUGGGUAGCGGUGAAAUUCCAAUCGAGCCCGGAGAUAGCUGGUUCUCCCCGAAAUAGCUUUAGGGCUAGCCUCAAGGUGAGAGAUACGGAGGUAGAGCACUGAAUGUCCUAGGGGGUAUUGCACCUACCGAAGACUAUCAAACUCCGAAU
rnacentral:rRNA from 1 species